GAGUUUGAUCCUGGCUCAGAACGAACGCUGGCGGCAGGCUUAACACAUGCAAGUCGAACGAACGUAGCAAUACGUUAGUGGCGCACGGGUGAGUAACACGUGGAUAUCUGCCUUUUGGCUCGGAAUAACCCUGGGAAACUAGGGCUAAUACCGAAUGGUUCCUACGGGAUAAAGAUUUAUCGCUAAAAGAUGAGUCCGCGUCCGAUUAGCUAGUUGGUGAGGUAAUGGCUCACCAAGGCGACGAUCGGUAGCUGGUCUGAGAGGACGAUCAGCCACACUGGGACUGAGACACGGCCCAGACUCCUACGGGAGGCAGCAGUGGGGAAUAUUGGACAAUGGGGGCAACCCUGAUCCAGCCAUGCCGCGUGAGUGAUGAAGGCCUUCGGGUUGU
rnacentral:rRNA from 1 species